rnacentral:rRNA from 1 species
AUUGAACGCUGGCGGCAGGCCUAACACAUGCAAGUCGAACGAGUGGCGGACGGGUGAGUAAUGUCUGGGAAACUGCCUGAUGGAGGGGGAUAACUACUUGAAACGGUAGCUCAUACCGCAUACCAUCGGAUGUGCCCAGAUGGGAUUAGCUCGUAGGUGGGGUAAAGGCUCACCUAGGCGACGAUCCCCAGCUGGUCUGAGAGGAUGACCAGCCACACUGGCACUGAGACACGGUCCAGACUCCUACGGGAGGCAGCAGGGGUGAAUAUGGCACAAUGGGCGCAAGCCCGAUGCAGCCAUGCCGCGUGUAUGAAGAAGGCCUUCGGGUUGUAAAGUACUUUCAGCGGGGAGGCGUUACCCGCAGAAGAAGCACCGGCUAACUCCGUGCCAGCAGCCGCGGUAAUUC